rnacentral:rRNA from 1 species
CACGGCGCACGGGUGCGUAACACGUGGGCAAUCUACCCUCCGAUGGGGAAUAACUCCGGGAAACCGAAGCUAAUUCCGCAUAACAUUCCCUGGACUCCGGUUUGGGGAUUCAAAGCAGCAAUGCGUCGGAGGAGGAGCCCGCGCCCGAUUAGCUAGUUGGUGAGGUAACGGCUCACCAAGGCUAUGAUCGGUAGCUGGUCUGAGAGGAUGGCCAGCCACACUGGAACUGAGACACGGUCCAGACUCCUACGGGAGGCAGCAGUGGGGAAUCUUGCGCAAUGGGCGAAAGCCUGACGCAGCGACGCCGCGUGGGGGAUGAAGCUUCUCGGAGUGUAAACCCCUUUCGACCGGGACGAAUGCCCGCAAGGGAGUGACGGUACCGGUAGAAGAAGCCCCGGCUAACUACGUGCCAGCAGCCGCGGUAAGACGUAGGGGGCCAGCGUUGUUCGGAAUUACUGGGUGUAAAGGGUUCGUAGGCGGUGUGGCAAGUCGGGAGUGAAAUUUCUGGGCUUAACUCAGAACCUGCUUCCGAAACUGCUGUGCUGGAGUGUGGGAGAGGCGCGUGGAAUUGCAGGUGUAGCGGUGAAAUGCGUAGAUAUCUGCAGGAACACCCGUGGCGAAAGCGGCGCGCUGGACCACUACUGACGCUGAGGAACGAAAGCUAGGGGAGCAAACAGGAUUAGAUACCCUGGUAGUCCUAGCCCUAAACGAUCAGGACUUGGGGUGCCACCCGUUCGGGUGUCGUCCCGGAGCUAACGCGUUAAGUCCUGCACCUGGGGAGUACGGUCGCAAGACUGAAACUCAAAGGAAUUGACGGGGGCCCGCACAAGCGGUGGAACAUGUGGUUCAAUUCGA